AAUCUGGGGACAACGCUGCGGGCAUCGAGGCGGUGGCGCUUGAUUUCCUUUAAAGUACCUACCACGCCACCCGCUACCUGUAAUAAUCCAUCUGAAGAGGUCGCCGGGCAGCGCCUCGGCAGACAGACUGACCUGCGGGGAGGUGCGGUUUCCAGUGGCGCGGGACAGCCGGCUCCGAGAAGGAACUGGGACCUUUGCCUAGGGCAAGACGUCAACAGGAACCCGCAGGCCCGGCCUGGACACCUGCUGCCCUCACUGGAAGCUUUAACUCCCACUCGAGUCUCUUGGCGUCGUCAGUGCCAGGAGCGCUUGGAUUGGGAUGGGGACGGAGAAGGGUGCCUCGCUCGCCGAGCCCCGCUGCCCUUGGGGACCUGGCAAAGUCGAGGUUUCCUCACAGCGUUGAGAUUGAGACUGGGGGUCGGCAGCACUGAGAAGUGAAGGAAUAUUUGGGAGGAUCAGAAGCUUGGUCCUGAUUUUGCCAUCAACAGGAACUUGAUGACUUCAAGGGAGUCCCCAAACCCUGGGUUUCUGUUUUCUCAACUCUAACAUGAGGGGCUAGAUGCAUCUGGUUUAGUUAGUCUCCAUGAUGGUUUAGUUCGUCUCCAUGAUCCUGUGAAUUUCAGAUGUUGAAAAUCUUCGGAAAAGCCCUGAAAGAUGAACAGUGGUCUCAAAUAGUCAAGACCCCCUGCUGGGAGGAGCUUCUAUCCUGCUCUGUGGAAGAAAUGGGCAUGCCAGAUGCCUGGAAGAUCAGAGGCUCACAUUCCAGCUGUAGGUGGCCCACCAGGUGUCAACAACUGUAGAGUUCCA
rnacentral:lncRNA from 1 species